CGAGGCAAUGGAAGCCGUCCGUGUGUGGUUAACUCGCCCGAGAGCGACCUAGGCGGGCCCAGGCUCCCCGUGGCCCAAAUUCUCACUAAUUCGACCUGUGUGGAAAGUCACGCAGCUUCUGCAUUAUUGGCCGCUGGCCUGGGGUGAGAUCGCUCCCUGCUUCUCCGUUUCUUUCUGUUACGUUAGCACGGUUUUAACGGUGUCUCCCUCCAACUCCUGCCCAGCUAACAUUCCGGGCACCCAGUGGGUGCUUCCAGAAAUUUCCUGUGCUUUAACAGGCUUGGGGCCACACACAAGGGAUCUUCAAGAAAUUCAUGGAACCGGAUAUAGUGAAAAAAAAAACAUGCAUCAGAUUUCAAAAAGUUGUGGCACCCAAAGAAACGUCUUUCAAAGCCAUUUCCCGCACAGGCUCUGGGGCGUGCAUCCGUGCUGUGCGUCCGUGCAGUGCCCACUCCCCGGGUCGGACCGCGACACCGCUCUCUGCUUCGCUCUGCCGUGGCGCCGCCCUACAACAGGGCUGCACCGCGGCUGCCGGAACUCCCCGUUGCAGACCCGGUGUCCCUCCGGGGGACACUUCUGCCACCCGCCCAGCGCCGCGGGUACGGCCUUGCCGAUGGAUCCGAGACCCUGGUGCAGCAGAGAGACAGGCCGAGGCUAUGACUACGUUGCCAUCAGGAAGGAAGCACUGGUGGCGUUUAGAUAUAUUUGUUAAAAGCCGGACCUAACGUAAGGAGGAGGCACACGCAGGCUGGAACUAAGGUAAACACCCUCUCCCUCCACGGGCGAGAUGGAGAAGUCAGCCAGGGCGUGGCCUUGGCAGGAGCGCGGGAAACAGCGCUCACCUAACUGCUGCUGAAUGCCAGUGGGCAGCUCCACCUGGGACAGCAUUUAGACAACGCGCGUCAAAACCGCCCGGCGCACCUGCCCGGGACGGCACAGGUCAGCCGCCAAGAAUGUGGCCUCCCGAAAUAGACCCCUGCACACGCACACGGACGGGCCGGCGGCAUGAACGGCACACGGAUUGCGGCACUGUUUGUCACGGCCAAAGCCUGGAAAUACCUUCACGGCUAUCAGUGGGGAGCUGGUUAGCGAGAUCGGGACAGGCAGACAAUGGGCUAUGUGAAGAAUGCUCUCCUGGCGCUGGCCUGAGAGAGCGCCGCGGUGCUUUGCUGAGUGAAGAAACACACGGCCGCGGUGCAGAACGGGGUGUGUGGUGCGCGGCUGCUUAGAGAACCGCGUCCAGGAAUCCAGGCGCACGGCUUAUCUGCGCUCUGGGCUUCUCUGCAGCGAUCCCAGCACGAUAAGCCCAAUGCCUGCUGGGAAGGGGAGCUCGGCGCAGGGCAGGGGGAGGGGCUGGGGGAGGACACCCAGCUCGCAGCUUCAGGGACCCCGGGACCUUCUCGAUGGCGCUGUGCCUCCUCACUAAUCUUAAAUAAGUUUUUUUUUUUUUAGUAGUCCCGGCUGCUCCACUUCUGAUCCAGGUCUCUGCUGUGGCCUGGGAAAGCAGUGGCAGAUGGCCCACGUGCUUGGGUCCCUGCAGCCACGUGGGAGACCUGCAGGAGUCCCCUGGCUUCGGAUCGGCGCAGCUCUGGCCGUUGCGGCCAUCUGGGGAGUGACCCAGCGGAUGGAAGACCUCUCUCUCUCUCUGCCUCUCUCUGUAACUGUCUUUCAAAUAAAUAAAAUAAAUCUUUAAAAAAUAAAUAAAUA
rnacentral:lncRNA from 1 species